UCUUGCUCUGUUUUAAAAUUUCAACUAGAAAUCCAUUAGCUUAUUUAUUGAACGAAGUAGAAUGAAUGUUCUAAUGCAAUUUGGUUUGGUUUUAACAUUUCAUUUUCUUGAUUAAGUGUAAUAUAGUUGGGUGGGUUAAAUGCAAUAUUUUACAUUCCUUCUUUGAUGUGAAAGUGCCAAGUUGAAGUUUAUAUGAACUGUCACAAGUUUGACAACUAGAGAGAAGGGCUAGGGUAGUCCAAGCUGCUUUGAUGGCUUGAAGAGGAACCAAGGAACUUGUAUUGUAGCGCUUAAAUGUGAUGAAAAAUCCAUGAGUUAAUGCUCAGCCAGUGUAUUUGUAUAUAUAUAAAGGGAUGAGUACAAAUAUGUUUGAAAGUGGAAGGUUACAACCGAUGUUCCUUAACCUAAAGCUAGGUUCUCCCAAAAACAACUUUAUGUAAGCUUUAUGUAACAGCUUUAUGUAAACUGUAACGAACAUAAUUUUAAUACUCACACUCAAGCUAGAGCUUAUAAAUGGUAUGCACUAAGCUUGAAA